rnacentral:rRNA from 1 species
AUUCCACCUGGGGAGUACGCCGGCAACGGUGAAACUCAAAGGAAUUGACGGGGGCCCGCACAAGCGGAGGAACAUGUGGUUUAAUUCGAUGAUACGCGAGGAACCUUACCCGGGCUUAAAUUGCAACCGAAUAUGGCGGAAACGCCAUAGCUAGCAAUAGCGGUUGUGAAGGUGCUGCAUGGUUGUCGUCAGCUCGUGCCGUGAGGUGUCGGCUUAAGUGCCAUAACGAGCGCAACCCUUGCCGAUAGUUACUAACAGGUCAUGCUGAGGACUCUGUCGGGACUGCCAUCGUAAGAUGUGAGGAAGGUGGGGAUGACGUCAAAUCAGCACGGCCCUUACGUCCGGGGCUACACACGUGUUACAAUGGGGGGUACAGAGGGCUGCUACCACGCAAGUGGAUGCCAAUCCCAAAAACCUCUCUCAGUUCGGAUUGAAGUCUGCAACCCGACUUCAUGAAGCUGGAUUCGCUAGUAAUCGCGCAUCAGCCACGGCGCGGUGAAUACGUUCCCGGGCCUUGUACACACCGCCCGUCAAGCCAUGGGAGCCGGGGGUACCUGAAGUGCGUAACCGCAAGGAGCGCCCUAGGGUAAAACUGGUGACUGGGGCUAAGUCGUAACAAGGUAACCGU